UGGGGUUUUAGCUUAGUGGUAAAGUGCUUGCCUGGCAUGUAUGAGGCACUGGGUUCGAUUCUCAGCACCACAU
rnacentral:tRNA from 1 species